rnacentral:rRNA from 1 species
GACGAACGCUGGCGGCGUGCUUAACACAUGCAAGUCGAACGGAAAGGCCCUGCUUUUGUGGGGUGCUCGAGUGGCGAACGGGUGAGUAACACGUGAGUAACCUGCCCUUGACUUUGGGAUAACUUCAGGAAACUGGGGCUAAUACCGGAUAGGAGCUCCUGCUGCAUGGUGGGGGUUGGAAAGUUUCGGCUGUUGGGGCUGGACUCGCGGCUUAUCAGCUUGUUGGUGGGGUAGUGGCUGACCAAGGCUUUGACGGGUAGCCGGCCUGAGAGGGUGACCGGCGACAUUGGGCCUGCGAUACGGCGCAGACUCCUACGGGAGGCAGCAGUGGGGAAUAUUGCACAGUGGGCGGAAGCCUGAUGCAGAAACGCCGCGUGCGGGAUGACGGCCUUCGGGUUGUAAACCGCUUUCGCCUGUGACGAAGCGUGAGUGACGGUAAUGAGUAAAGAAGCACCGGCUAACUACGUG